rnacentral:rRNA from 1 species
GAAGUCUGCAACCCGACUUCGUGAAGCUGGAUUCGCUAGUAAUCGCGCAUCAGCCAUGGCGCGGUGAAUACGUUCCCGGGCCUUGUACACACCGCCCGUCACACCAUGGGAGUCGGAAAUGCCCGAAGUCUGUGACCUAACCGAGAGGGAGGAGCAGCCGAAGGCAGGUCUGAUGACUGGGGUGAAGUCGUAACAAGGUAUC